GCAGCCAGGCCAGUGGGUGUUGGAUAGUGACCGUGAUGUCUCCAUAACAUCAGAGGAGACCCUUCUCAGAGAGGGAGAGAAUGGCCCACAUUCUGUUUUAUUAAAAAGUGAGGCAGAUCACCCCACUUCUCACCCAGUCUGCCCUCUGCCAGCACUCCCAUCAUCGGGUUAUAAAAGUGUUAGCAUCACUCCAAUGGGUGAUCCCUCCAUAAAGGUGAAAUGAAAUCAUAUCAACCAACAUCAAUGUCCAGUCAAUCAGACAUUCAAUGGACGAAAGCAGGCCUCUACAUCGCCGACCAUCAAGAGCAGCCAGGCCUGUGGGUUUCGUAUCACAAACAUAAGGUCACCCUACCAUCCUGUUUUGCAUUAAAAAGUCUGGAAGAACACAUUCUAGUGUGGAAGAACACAUUCUAGUCUGGAAGAACACAUUCUAGUGUGGAAGAACACAUUCUAGUGUGGAAUACCACCCCCUAACCACCCCGCCUGCUGUCCCCAAUCUAAGAUGGCAGCAUCACUCCAGCCGACUGGCAACCAAUGGGUGACCCCUCCAUGGUCGAAUAAAGUCAUAUUACACCAACAUGAGAAACCAUUCACUGUAUAUUUGGCAUAUCAUCAAGCAACAACUUUAUAAGGACGCAUUUAAAUGCAACAUACUGUAGAAAGAUUUACAACGUCGGUCUCACUUAGAGCCUCAGGUUUUUAAAACUCUCAGAUAAACAAACUCUCAGAUAAACAACAGUGCCAAUUGGCAUAGAGCCUUGUGGGGCAGC